UACAGAGGUGCCAAGCGUUAGGCGGAAUCACUGGGCUUAAAGCGCGUGUAGGUGGGUCGUUAAGUGUCCGCGUGAAAUCCCACGGCUCAACCGUGGAACUGCCGGGCAUACUGGCGAUCUUGAGGCAUUCAGGGGCGAGCGGAACAAAUGGUGGAGCGGUGAAAUGCGUAGAUAUCGGAAGGAACACCAAUGGCGAAAGCAGCUUCCUGGUCCAGCACCGACGUUCAGGCACGAAAGCGUGGGGAGCAAACAGG
rnacentral:rRNA from 1 species